AGCUGGAGCUACAGGCGCCCGCCGCCACGCCUGGCCAAUUUUUUUGUAUUUUUAGUAGAGAUGGGGUUUCACCGUGUUAGCCAGGAUGGUCUCGAUCUCCCGACCUCGUGAUCCACCCGUCUCGGCCUCCCAAAGUGCUGAGAUUACAGGCGUGAGCCACCGUGCCCAGCCAAAUCUGCUUUUUAAUCAGCUCCCUGCUUCGCGGGAUUCUUAGAAGGAAGAGGAAGAAACAAAAGGAACUUCUCUCUUAGAUUUAAUUCUGACCUACCAGGAAGAACUGGAUUGUUGAAGCAGAAGUACUGGAGUCUCUGGAGCUAGUGAGUCAGAGAAUGUCUUUCACAGCAGGGAUUAAAAUGCCCAAUGAAAACCUUUCUGGAAAGGCUCUGAUGUGGGUUCUAAAUGGGUACACAGUUCUCAGAAGGUCAGAGGAAAUUACAGUUUGAUCCCAUAAUCAAAUAAUCUGAAAGAGAAGACAGAAUGAGAGGGAUGGGAGGAUCUCCAAAAUGAAAUCCCGAGAACAAAAGAGUAUGAAUCUUGAUAAGAAGUAAAAGAGUUUGGCUUCAAAAAUACCAGUGUGACUAGCAGAGAGCAAUUUAAUGAGUUUAAUUUGUCAAAGGACUGGGCAAUAAAUGGAAGAAGUUUA
rnacentral:lncRNA from 1 species